GGCCACAAGACACGCCCGUGUGUCUAGGCCGUGUCAAGUCUGUAGGUAUAUUGAAUUAAUUCAAGAAGCUACCUAGGGGACACACGGCCGUGUACUAAGGCUAUGUGUCACACACGGUCAAGCCACACGCCCGUGUGCUCAGUCGUGUUGAGUGAAAAUAGGCUUGGUUAAAGCCACAUUUCUCACCCCUCACAAGCAUACCUAAAUACCACACUUCAUG
rnacentral:lncRNA from 1 species